ACGUUCAGGUAAUCGCUGCACCUUGUUUGGUGUAGAGGAAAGUCCAUGCUCGCACGAUCUGAAAUGAUCGUAGUGUUCGUGCCUAGUUAAUAAAUAAGCUAGGGCAAUCUAGUGGUUACUCAGUAACGAACUGGAUUGACGGCGGGGAAAAUCACCUAAAGCUUGUUAAAAGUCAUGGUUUAGUACCCCUGAAAGUGCCACAGUGACGAAACUCUUUUGGAAACGGAAGAGGUGGAACGCGGUAAACCCCACGAGCGAGAAACCCAAAUUUGGUAGGGGAACUAUCUCAAUGGAAUAACAACAAAGAGAUGGACAGGUUUCAUAGCCUGUAGAUAGAUGAUUGCCACCGGAGUACGAGGUUAAAACCGUUCGCAGUACAAAGGAACAAAACAUGGCUUAUCGAA
rnacentral:RNase_P_RNA from 2 species